CACCAGCCCCUCGAGUGGUGGGGAUGAUUAUUGGGCUUAAAGCGUCCGUAGCCGGCUUGGCAAGUUUCCUGCUAAACUCUGCGACUUAAUCGUUGAAUCGCGGGAAAUACUACUAGGCUAGGAGGCGGGAGAGGUCAACGGUACUUCUGGGGUAGGGGUGAAAUCCUAUAAUCCCGGGAGGACCACCAGUGGCGAAGGCUGUUGACUAGAACGCGCUCGACGGUGAGGGACGAAAGCUGGGGGAGCGAACCGGAUUAGAUACCCGGGUAGUCCCAGCUGUAAACGAUGCGGGCUAGGUGUUGGGAUGGCUACGUGCCAUUUCAGCGCCGCAGGGAAGCCAUUAAGCCCGCCGCCUGGGGAGUACGGCCGCAAGGCUGAAACUUAAGGAAUUGGCGGGGAGCACCACAAGGCGUGAAGCUUGCGGUUC
rnacentral:rRNA from 1 species